GACGAACGCUGGCGGCGUGCCUAAUACAUGCAAGUUGAGCGCUGAAGGUUGGUACUUGUACCAACUGGAUGAGCAGCGAACGGGUGAGUAACGCGUGGGGAAUCUGCCUUUGAGCGGGGGACAACAUUUGGAAACGAAUGCUAAUACCGCAUAAAAACUUUAAACACAAGUUUUAAGUUUGAAAGAUGCAAUUGCCUCACUCAAAGAUGAUCCCGCGUUGUAUUAGCUAGUUGGUGAGGUAAAGGCUCACCAAGGCGAUGAUACAUAGCCGACCUGAGAGGGUGAUCGGCCACAUUGGGACUGAGACACGGCCCAAACUCCUACGGGAGGCAGCAGUAGGGAAUCUUCGGAAAUGGACGAAAGUCUGACCGAGCAACGCCGCGGGAGUGAAGAAGGUUUUCGGAUCGUAAAACUCUGUUGGUAGAGAAGAACGUUGGUGAGAGUGGAAAGCUCAUCAAGUGACGGUAACUACCCAGAAAGGAACGGCUAACUACGUG
rnacentral:rRNA from 1 species